rnacentral:ncRNA from 1 species
UUUACCGUAAGGUAAGCAGUGAAGGUUAUUUGUGAUUGAUUAAUGAGCAAAUAAAUUCAACCGGCAAAACCCGGUACUGACGAACAGAAACUGGAUACGAGGCUUGAUAAACCGGAUAAGCAAGCACAUCAUUGUGACGUCCAAAAUGUUCCGUAAGGAAUGAGCACCGAAGUAGUAGAUCAGGCAGCGAUUGGGUGAAGGAAGAUGCU